rnacentral:rRNA from 1 species
UACGGAGGGUGCGAGCGUUGUCCGGAAUCAUUGGGCGUAAAGCGCGUGUAGGCGGCCCGGUAAGUCCGCUGUGAAAGUCCAGGGCUCAACCCUGGGAUGCCGGUGGAUACUGUCGGGCUCGAGUCCGGAAGAGGAGUGUGGAAUUCCUGGUGUAGCGGUGAAAUGCGCAGAUAUCAGGAGGAACACCAAUGGCGAAGGCAGCACUCUGGGACGUGACUGACGCUGAGACGCGAAAGCGUGGGGAGCAAACAGG